rnacentral:sRNA from 13 species
UUUGAAACCGAAGGCCAAUUUAGAUAUAGAAUUUUAAACGAGAGACUCGAAUCGAUUCGUCAAUCAAUCGGCUAACGUUCUUUAAAUGUGCCACAAAUCUACAGAAAACAUAAAUAUUCCAACAAAAAAACGAUAAUGAUGCAGUGAGCAGCAUUUGUCGAUUUGACGGCAUUGCCAACAGCACAGAAAAAGUGACCCCGAAACAGCGAUUAAAGAAGAAGAGUCAGUGGCAGGCAGUCAGCUACCUGAGAGACCCAACAAAGGACGACGGAACGAGUCCGGAAAAACCGUCUGAGCCGAGUUGACCGACUAAACCGAGUCUACUUCGCCGCAUUUGGCUGAGCGUCGGGCACAGUCGAGUGCAAACUCUCCAGCCAGCGACACGGCAUCAGUUGCCCAACAUUAUACAUAAAUAUCUUCUUCGUUUUUUUUCAAGUGCAUAGUUAUUCAUAUAUAUUUAUUUUUGCAAGUGUGGUUUGAAAGAAAAUAACUCCGAUUCUCAGUUUUAACAACAGAGUGCUGUAAUUUGUAUAGUUUUUGUUGUUUGUUUUUUUUUUCUGUGAGUUUUCUGUGCAACUGUAUGUAGCACAUAGUUUGUCCGACUACGCAGUGAAAAUUUGGAGUGGCAAAGGCAAUAUUUAAGUAUGUAUUUAGUGGGUGCCCCAGCAUCAUGCCACAUUUACUGUAUCACUGUAUCACCGUAACACCCAUCCACCAAUCCGAUAAACGAAGCGAGGUGCUGAGUAAACCUCUUAAAUCCAUAUCACAAGGUCUCCCGAGGAUGCGGGUGUUUCCGCAUGUGCCUGUUUCGCAGUGCGACAUCUUGUGGCGCCUGCACGAGUCAAGUCGACAGACGCUGGCGGGCCAUGUGGCUCUUGCCACGGACUCGGAUCAAUCACACUUUGCGCCUGCUGACGGGUCUGGCCAGGGGAGGGUCGUGAUAUCGUAUAGUUGCGGUAUCCAGAAGGGGACUUGCGCUUGCGAAGAGCUUGUCGGGCGAGCUGGACAAAUGGAACAGAGAUAAACAUAAAGAGUUUCGGGUGCAUCCGUUUGCCGGCCACUAUCCACACAAGAAGCGAGAAGAAGCGUCCGCAUACUUUUAUCGUGUGUGCACGAGUGCCAGCACAUGGAUGCGAGUGAGACGACAAAUAGCAAACAGAGCAGGAGCGCGUUCUCUCCGUGCCACCGCAUACACCGUAUACAUGUGUCCAUCUCGCUCGCCAAGUGUGUACAAGCGUCCGAGCGAGACAGCCUUACCCAGCCAGGCGCAAAGACCAACCAACCAACUAACCUUGCAUGAAAUUGAAGGAGAACGCAAUCGUAACCGAAAGUGAGACAGAGAUCACAUAACGUAACACAAGUUGAUGCAUGCCACAUGGUGUGUAUACCCGUAACGAAUCCGGGUCUCGAGUCCCAGCCUCAACCCUUGUCCUUAGCCACUACAAAUCGCAGCCGUUGAGCAGGCAACACUCGGCGCCAACAUUGCCUCGGCGAGGCAAGCAUAACUAGCGACUUGAUAACCAAAAUAUAACUGUGUACAUAGCAUUAUGUCCGAUCUGAAUCGAGAGGCAGCCAAUGCCGUUAAAUGUCAAAUGUCAUAACAAAAAAACAAAAUAACCACAACUAUAAACCACAAAAUGUCAUCGUAACCACAUCGUCCACCCACCAAAAGAACCACCCAUCAAACAUCAUCAUCCAUUGCUGGCACAUACACAUAUAUAAAUAUAUGCAAAUGCAAUUUAGUAUAUUUAACAAUCUGUUAUUAAUAUCCGCCCAAAGAGAGAGAGAGAGAGAGAAAUAGAGCGAGAGAGAGAGACGCGGGGGUAUACGAACUAAAGACUGGGCUUAGGUUUUAGUUUAGGCCGUGUCGCUGGUCUGGGCUGUCAAGAGGAGGAGGAGGUGGAGGAGAAGAAGUUGACGCUGAAGAAGCAGAAGAAGUCGAAGCAUACACUGUGAGAAAAGUACCGCUCGAAACAUUACUGGAACCCGAGGAAGAUGCCACUGCACGGACUCUUGCAGAGGCUGGCACUGAGCAACGUUGAGAUCGCAGCGUUAACUAGCCUAUAAACUUUGUCAUAUAUAUAUUUGAUCUGGGCAAACACACACAACACAAAAACACAUCCCGGGUUGAGAUAACAUUCGAAAAAUGUGUUGAAAAUCCAACACUAUUGAAAAUUGUCAACUUUCUCGCUUUGAGAUCGCAACUUUCUUUGGUUUCUGUUCUGUUUCUGUUCUAUAUACGAUUUAAUGAAUGCAUUGCUUACAGCCUAGUUUCAUGGCCAAGAAACUAUCAUGCAUUUUAAAUAGCUGAUUUUAGGUGAGUUUUUGCCUUCGACACCGAAAUCGUAUCGCUGAUCUUUGACAUGGAAAUCGCUGCCUUCUUGGACUAGCCCAAUCAAUCAAUAAGAAAACCUCGUGUCAUAAUUAAAAUCAAUAAUAAUAGCAAUAAUAACAAUAAUAAUGAUAAUAGUAAUGUUAUACGUGAUGUGCACGAUUAGUGCGAAUUAUUAACAACAAAUAAGGACAAAAAAUGACUAUUAAAAUAGUCAAUGAAAAGUAAAAAAAGACAAUAAUUUCUUAAAAUUAAAAAAAAAAAGUCAAAAACCUUAAAGACAAUAAUAAAAAAACGUACUUUAAAAAGAAUUAAUGCAAAUUGUAAAGACAUUAAAAGAAAAGAAAAAAUGCAUAAAGUGAAAUAUAUAAAUAGAAAUAUGACGCAGUUUGCGAGCGGGUUGCAAUUGAUAUUUGUUAUGAGCCAAAGUGAAUUAAAUGGACAAACCUGUUGCUUGGCUGUGUGUGCCGAGUGCUCGGGCAACAGGCUUGUCUCGCUAUAACGAACGUGUGCAAGCCAAUGCUCGUAAUGAAUUAUCAAUUGCCUAAAAGUGAGCAUCACAUAAAACAUAAGUGUAAAAGGCAGCAAAGUUCAACAGCAAAAGGCUUCUGCAAUUCUAUGGAUGGGUCAGCGAUGCGAUUCCUCUCCAUACAGUGCGAGUGGGCUGCAUAGAUUUGUUGGGUAAAUUGAUUAACCUAUUUCCAUGCUGUGUUCUUUCAGAUGAGUCUCCAGCUGAGUCCAGACUCACGGCUGACCAAGAACGCCCAGCCCGCCAAAAGCAACCAAAGUUUUCUAUGCAUUUCUCUGUUUGUUUACUUUUUGUUCAUCUCUUUAUUGGUUUUCUGUUGUUGUUGCUGCGACUUCAAAGCGUUCCAAAUCGUAGCAACCAAUUAGUCUUUAUCUAUCUGGGAAUUGUGAACUGUGAACUGUGUUUUUACCCCUGCCCCAGCAUUUCUUGUCAACUUUUGUUUAGCCGCAUAUCCUGCGAUUGAAGCGUUUGCCAUGCUUUGCUCUCGUAAGAGUUUAGAUUGUGCAAGCAUUAUCAAGCCAAGACUUUCAUUUUAUAUCUAUAUAUUAGCGGUCAUUUACAGUGCGAACACCAAUCGCAAUUGAUGCGAACUGCCUGGCUGCCUGCCACAGAAAAGGAUUUCUCGUACCUCGAAGGAUGACCCGACCCAGAAGACAAUCUUCAUUGAUUUUAUUUACAGCCUUUUGUGUUUGAUCUUUGAUUUCAUUGAUUAUUGUAAACACCUUCUGAAUUUGUUUCAAUUACGUUUUAGAACAAGAACACCUCACACACACACCAGAAGUCAUGUCAUACUACAAGUCGUGUAUUAUUUGAUACACUUUCCAUUUAUCACAAUCCGCAAUUCAAUCGGUUCGGUAAUUCUAGUCGAGAUUUAUUGAAAAACGGUUUAGAAUUGCGCCAAACGGGGCUUGAAAUACCAUUAUAAUAAUAACCUAAUAAUAACGUAAGGUUAGGCUUGGAAAUGUUUCUGCUCUUGAAUAGCGUAAACCUAUACGAGAGAGAGAGAGAGAGAUAAAUAAAUAUAUAUAUAUAUAAAUAUAUACAACUGUUUGCAAAGUAAAAAUUGGAUUACUUUGCGCUCAGUGCGAAAUGAAAACCAUCGAAUUGCGUUAAAUAUUUAAGCACUUCCGGCUAAAUGUUUUACGCAAUUGAAGCAAAAAAAUAAGACACGCUCGUUGAAUGCAUAAUUUUCGAAAUUUAAAGUACAAUUCGUUGCCAAACAAUAAAUCGAAUUCAUCGUAAAUAUAACUCUUAUGCAUAAUGUGUUGAUGCGUUAUACGCAACAGCAUAUUAUCGGGAAAUACUGGAACUGUUAUACGCCUGAGCCUGUUUGCUAAGAAA